rnacentral:rRNA from 1 species
GUUCCAGACUCCUACGGGAGGCAGCAGUGAGGAAUAUUGGUCAAUGGGCGCGAGCCUGAACCAGCCAAGUCGCGUGAGGGAUGACGGCCCUACGGGUUGUAAACCUCUUUUGUCGGGGAGCAAAUUCCGCCACGUGUGGCGGAGUCGAGAGUACCCGAAGAAAAAGCAUCGGCUAACUCCGUGCCAGCAGCCGCGGUAAUACGUAGGGGGCAAGCGUUAUCCGGAUUUACUGGGUGUAAAGGGAGCGUAGACGGCAGCGCAAGUCUGAAGUGAAAUCCCAUGGCUUAACCAUGGAACUGCUUUGGAAACUGUGCAGCUGGAGUGCAGGAGAGGUAAGCGGAAUUCCUAGUGUAGCGGUGAAAUGCGUAGAUAUUAGGAGGAACACCAGUGGCGAAGGCGGCUUACUGGACUGUAACUGACGUUGAGGCUCGAAAGCGUGGGGAGCAAACAGGAUUAGAUACCCUCGUACGU